rnacentral:rRNA from 1 species
CUACGGGAGGCUGCAGUGGGGAAUAUUGCACAAUGGAGGAAACUCUGAUGCAGCAACGCCGCGUGGAGGAUGACACAUUUCGGUGCGUAAACUCCUUUUAUAUAGGAAGAUAAUGACGGUACUAUAUGAAUAAGCGCCGGCUAACUCCGUGCCAGCAGCCGCGGUAAUACGGAGGGCGCAAGCGUUACUCGGAAUCACUGGGCGUAAAGAGCGUGUAGGCGGAUAGAUAAGUCAGGAGUGAAAUCCUAUGGCUCAACCAUAGAACUGCUCUUGAAACUGUCAAUCUAGAGUGUGGGAGAGGUAGAUGGAAUUUCUGGUGUAGGGGUAAAAUCCGUAGAGAUCAGAAGGAAUACCGAUUGCGAAGGCGAUCUACUGGAACAUAACUGACGCUGAGACGCGAAAGCGUGGGGAGCAAACAGGAUUAGAUACCCUAGUAGUC